rnacentral:rRNA from 1 species
AUGAACGCUGGCGGCGUGCCUAAUACAUGCAAGUCGAGCGAACAGACGAGGAGCUUGCUCCUCUGACGUUAGCGGCGGACGGGUGAGUAACACGUGGAUAACCUACCUAUAAGACUGGGAUAACUUCGGGAAACCGGAGCUAAUACCGGAUAAUAUAUUGAACCGCAUGGUUCAAUAGUGAAAGACGGUUUUGCUGUCACUUAUAGAUGGAUCCGCGCCGCAUUAGCUAGUUGGUAAGGUAUCGGCUUACCAAGGCAACGAUGCGUAGCCGACCUGAGAGGGUGAUCGGCCACACUGGAACUGAGACACGGUCCAGACUCCUACGGGAGGCAGCAGUAGGGAAUCUUCCGCAAUGGGCGAAAGCUUGACGGAGCAACGCCGCGUGAGUGAUGAAGGUCUUCGGAUCGUAAAACUCUGUUAUUAGGGAAGAACAAAUGUGUAAGUAACUAUGCACGUCUUGACGGUACCUAAUCAGAAAGCCACGGCUAACUACGUG